GAAUCUACUAGCGCUACACACUCGAUGGAACGCCAAGAACAGAGAUAGACAGAGAUGAACAGUAGCUGUACACAAGACAAUGGACACAGGAACUUCGCGCACACACACCUACAGCGCAUGGACGCUGCGUUUUCUAUUUCCUUGCCACACUUUUUAACUGAGCAGUACAUGUGCCUUUAUAGACUGAAUAUACAGAGAGCUACGAACUCCACUAGUCCACUACCCAGCCUUCACGCCAUGAGCCACAUAACUCAUGUUGCUUUGCAUGCAAGCAACCUCCUCACACACACGAACAAGUCACUAGGCGCUAGCUUCUCGGCCACUCCUUCCAGCAUGCAAGCACGCACGCAACUAACGCACGCACUACACCACUCAACUAGCUAGUGACCAGCACCAUGCGCACACACCCACGGAGCUAGCAGUUGCACUGCAUGCACACACAUGCACAACUGCCAUGACUCGUACACACAUGCGCUGGGAUUAUUCUAACAAACUCUCCCUAAUCCUAGCGCCGCGUCCCGCACUCACAGGAGCGUCGCUUCUUCAUCGGCCCUGGCUAGCAGCGCCUCCUCCUCCUUCUUCUUACGGCAAUCCCGCGCGAAGUGGCCGCGGUUACCGCAGUUGAAGCACUUGCCGAUCGUCGACUUCUUCUUUUUUCGAGCUUUCCACUCGGCCUCCGUGAGGAGGAGUUGGUCGUCGCGUCGUUCGCCGCCGGCAUGAGUACGCCGCCGAGAACGCUCAUCGAACGCCUUGAGACGUCCGAGCGCCUCCUCAAAUGGCAUCGUCUCAACGUCGCAGAACUGCUCGAUGCCCGCGACGACGGGGAAGAGCCGAUCCGGGACGGUGUCGAGGAGCUUUUUUACCAUGGCAGCGUCGUCGAGUGUCGCGCCAAGCCCGGCGUAACGCGCCGCCAUACCGCUGAUUUUGCCGGCGUAGUCGUCCAAUGCCUCCCCGUCCUCCAUGUACAGCUUGUCGAACUCCCCCUUGAGCGUGGCUAGGCGCGCCGUCUUGACCCGAUCCGCCCCGACGAAACGAGUCUUGAGACUCGCCCACACCUCCGCCGCCGUUUUCUUGGUGGAGACCUGCAUCAAGAUGUCAUCGGGCAGAGCUUGGAGAAGUUGUGCCCGCGCCGUCUUGUUCUUCACCGCGUUCACCUCGCCACCAUCUGGUGGAGACACGGCCUCCCAGAGACCUUGCGCGUCGAGGAUCGACUCCACCUUGAUCGCCCACGCCGUGUAGCUCGCCGGCGACAGCACCGGGUACGACAUGGAGACCGAACUCCCCCCGGCGCCGUGCGGAACCAUCGCCAUAGCUUCGGACUCGAGGUAGUAGCGCAGGAUCUUGGGCAUAAACUGCCUCUGAUACCAAAUGUUGGAAUCUACUAGCGCUACACACUCGAUGGAACGCCAAGAACAGAGAUAGACAGAGAUGAACAGUAGCUGUACACAAGACAAUGGACACAGGAACUUGGCGCACACACACCUACAGCGCACGGACGCUGCGUUUUCUAUUUCCUUGCCACACUUUUCAACUGAGCAGUACAUGUGCCUUUAUAGACUGAAUAUACAGAGAGCUACAAACUCCACUAGUCCACUACCCAGCCUUCACGCCAUGAGCCACAUAACUCAUGUUGCUUUGCAUGCAAGCAACCUCCUCACACACACGAACAAGUCACUAGGCGCUAGCUUCUCGGCCACUCCUUCCAGCAUGCAAGCACGCACGCAACUAACGCACGCACUACACCACUCAACUAGCUAGUGACCAGCACCAUGCGCACACACCCACGGAGCUAGCAGUUGCACUGCAUGCACACACAUGCACAACUGCCAUGACUCGUACACACAUGCGCUGGGAUUAUUCUA
rnacentral:lncRNA from 1 species